AAAAUUCCUGAGAUGGUGAUAGAAUCAGGCUGCAGGGACGAAGCACCGACAAAAGAGGUUCUAAGGAACAUCGCAUACACCCAAAGACAACUUAAAAGACCUCACACCAACGAACUUUUAAGUCUCCAAAUGCUAAUUGACCAAAAAGCAGGAACAGACAAUGAAGUCCUGCAGAGGGUUAUGAUGCACCCAAAAGGAAUAAUGCUGUGGUCAAAAAAGACACUGUCCAUUUUUUACCAAAGAUGCAAGGAAGACAUUGUGUAUCUGGAUGCAACAGGAAGUAUAGUUCAGAAAGAAAGUGGCAAAAGUCCACCAUACUACGUGUAUGAAUUAGUUGUGCGGAAUCCUUCCAAGGGGGCAUCUCCUCUUCCUGUUGCAACCUACCUGACUUGUGACCACACCACAGCAUCUGUCACCUACUUUCUGCAGGCUUUCCAAACUGAUCUGAGGAAGUUGUAUGGGAAAAGGGCAGUGCAGAGGCCAGUGAUGAUCAUUUGUGAUGGCUCUUUAGUGCUUCUGCAGUCCAUUUCUUUUACAUUCUGCAGACUAAGCCUAGAGGAUCUUCUGCAGAAGUACUUUGAAGUCAUCACUGGCCAACAUCAAGCAGAAAGGGGAUAUUGGCCGUCAUGGUACAGGCCCAGCAUACCAGCAUUUCAGCAAGAUCCACAAAGAAGUCAGUCAGUCCAAUAAACAGAACUUUACACAAGACAACCGGACACAGGGCAUUAUGGAAAAAAGUCAGUGGGACCUCAAGAGAAUACGAUUCCAGAGAAGGCGACUCACACGAUUUGAUGAUUUUGUGCAGACAUACCAAAAAACUCAUGAUGCACUGAUCAUUGAAUACCAAGACAGAGAAAGAACCAGAAAGAAAUCUUUUCGAGUGGAAAUGGAGCAGUGGAAGAAGAAAAGUCAGGGGCGUAAAGGAGUAUACGUCUCCCGACUAGUGAAGAGUCUCCCAUUCAAAGAAGUCAGAAGCAAGAAGUCUCCAAAGGCAGCCACCAAUGAACCCAAAGAAAAACCCGAAGCUGUGAUCUCGACACAGGAUGAUUUGGAAGCUGCAGACACUGCAGCGGAAAAGGCAACCACAGCCAUCGUACACCCUCAGAAAGCAGCAGUGCAGCAUAUAAGAAGGAGAAAAUCCAAUGUUGAAGGGCCUAUUUGGAAAAACUACAGUGCUACGGGAAAAACAGUUACAAGAAGGCUCUCCCGACCAGCUAAGAUAAAUACUCUGCAAGAAAUCCUUCACCAUGACUACUGGUUGACCAGUGAUGCCAUGGAUCAAGCCAGCUACCUCAUGGCCAAGGAUCAUGACCACAUUGACGGAUUUCAAUCGGUUUUACCGUUUAGCGCAAUUGCACAAGGAGGGAUUGUGGGGACUCCUGAAAAGAAAUUUGUUCAGAUGUUGAACAUCAGACAGAGCCACUGGAUAACGGUCAGCAAUUUGUUUUGCAAUGACACUCAACUCGCCGUUUAUGACAGCCUACGUAGCCCUCUGGACCCAAGAACACUGCAGGCACUGUCCUGGCUGCUAAGGCCACAGUCUGACACUUUGGAAGUUUUGCAACCAGCAGUGCAGCAGCAAGCAAAUUUGAGUAACUGUGGGGUGUUUGCAAUAGCCUUUGCAUAUGCAUUAUGCAAGGGUCAUCAACCAGAACAGUGCAUAUUCAAUGAAGGCAGGAUGAGGGCACAGCUGUACAAGUCAUUCACAAGGAACAACAUCACAUUUCGAAUGAAUGUUGAAGACAGAGAAGCUCAGUCAAACAUCACAACAACUACAGUACCGGUAUACUGUGUUUGCAGAACAGCUCAUUACAAAGAGAUGAUGGUGCAGUGUUCACUGUGCAAAGAGUGGUAUCAUCCCACAUGCGUCAACAUUCCGAGAGCUGUGAUCGGGAAUGAUGACAUCUGGCAGUGUUCCAAAUGUGAACAAGCCAAUAGCACUUGA
rnacentral:lncRNA from 1 species